rnacentral:rRNA from 1 species
UACAGAGGGUGCAAGCGUUAAUCGGAAUUACUGGGCGUAAAGCGUGCGUAGACGGUUAUGUAAGUCAGAUGUGAAAGCCCCGGGCUUAACCUGGGAAUGGCAUUUGAGACUGCAUAGCUAGGGUGCGGAAGAGGGAAGCGGAAUUUCCGGUGUAGCGGUGAAAUGCGUAGAUAUCGGAAGGAACACCAGUGGCGAAAGCGGCUUCCUGGUCCAGCACCGACGUUCAGGCACGAAAGCGUGGGGAGCGAACAGG